UCCCGGGUGGUGUAAUGGUAACACAGCGCCCUUUGGAGGCGUAAUUCAUGGUUCGAAUCCAUGCCCGGGAG
rnacentral:tRNA from 2 species